CAAGCUAGCGAUAGUGAGCGAAUCCCAAAAAGUGCGUCGUAGUCCGGAUUGGAGUCUGCAACUCGACUCCAUGAAGUCGGAAUCGCUAGUAAUCGUGAAUCAGAAUGUCACGGUGAAUACGUUCCCGGGCCUUGUACACACCGCCCGUCACACCAUGGGAGUGGGCUGCAAAAGAAGUGGGUAGUUUAACCUUUCGGGGAGGACGCUCACCACUUUGUGGUUCAUGACUGGGGUGAAGUCGUAACAAGGUAGCCCUAGGGGAACCUGGGGCUGGAUCACCUCCUUAUACGAAGAUAC
rnacentral:rRNA from 1 species